rnacentral:rRNA from 1 species
GGGUGCGAUCAUACCAGCGCUAAAACACCGAAUUCC